GAAUUUGAGCCAAAAUAAAUUAGGAAUUCGCCGACAAUAAGAAAACGAAAAAGAAAAAGGUCAAUUUCUCAAAGGUUUCCUUUUCCCAGCCACGAUAGUCCCUUAGGUUUAAACCAGUUCCGUCUCGCGCAAUUUCAUCACAAAAUCAGUCGUCGUCUCGAUCGGGAUUUUGGGUUUCAUCGAAUACGUGCUUUCGAAUUUCAGGCAUUUUCCGAUUUAUGGUGGAUGUUUUUAAUUUAUUUGGUUAUUUAAUCAUUAAAUUUUCAAUAAUCUAUGAAGUAUUAUAAUCUAGAUUAUAGCCUUUAAUAUUUCGAUUGGGUUCUGAACGGGAUAUUGGCUUUGCGUUUGAAUUAGUGUUUUUUUUUUUGAUUUCUUGAUUCAGUAUUUCGAGUUUGGUUUGUUGAUUCUGAAUUUUCUUGUGUGUUAUUGGUUUUUGGUGGUGAUAAAGUGUUUGGUAUUUCGAGUUUGCAUUGAGUGAUGGAUAUUGAAUGUUUUCCCAAAUGAAAAAUUAAAAUUUUAGAAGAACAAUUGACAUGACUCAUGAAGUUUCUUUUUAUAAUUUGUUUUUAUAUAUCAGAGUGAUAAAUGGAAUUACAAAUUAAUAAUAGAAAGCUGUUGUGUUCUGUAAUAUCCUGUGAACUUAUGACUUUACUAAACAUAUUGACGAGGCAAUUUCUUAAUACAACACCCAUUAGAAAGUAGCAACCUGGAGUAGAAUCUGUUUAAAACACAAAGUAUGUCCAUCGGAACAUUAUUGUAAUGCAGAAAAGUUCUGACCAAAUUGCAGAAUCUGAUAUUAAUCUUCGCGUGAGUAGAAUUCUUGUUUUACCCAAAAUUAACUUGGAUUGUCCCUUGGAGACCUUAAGUAUUUACAUUUUAGAUUCAGGGAGUGAAGCAGUUGUAUAAAAACUAAAUGACAUGUCUUGUGACUUUUGACUAGAAACAAGGUUGUCGAGAAGUAUUAAAAGAUAUGUGUGAAGCUAGAUUGAAUGUCAGUAACUAGAAGAUGAACAAAUUAAAGAUGUGAUGAGGUAAAGCAGUACAAAGAUUUUCAAGUGGGUGACUCAUGAGUAAUGAAGAAUGGUGUUCGUAGACUCUAGGCACUUUAAGUUUUUGGGUGGCCGUCUUCAAACUGAAAUCCUCCCUGGUGAGUCAUCUUUGGGCAUACUUUUUUGGUGUGAGGGUCGUACACUUGUAAUGUACUAGUAGUUGUUUAAAGCUUCUGUUAUAUGUUGUCGUGGUCUAAGUGUCACCUUCCUCGAGUGUUUCUAUUCCUUCCAGUGAGAGACGGCAGGAAACCAGGGGCUGCUGUAGCAAUGGGGCUUGCUGUGAGAGUCAAAGAAAAUAUUCUAUGGGGAAAUUCGCUUGAGUCUUGAUCUCUUCAAUAUUUCAGAUGGCUAGCAAUUGAGUUUUUCCUGUUUUGUAAAUGUAAGGAAGAAUAUUGGGUAAAGAGUCUAAACUAUUCGAGAUGUCAAUGGAUCUGUGCUGCUGCAAUUGUGUAAGAACAGGAGAAACAAGUUCAUUAACCUCUCUGGUGUGGUUGUCUUGGAUGCUCUAAGAUGGUUAUUUUACCGAUGUGCUGAUAGCAGACAGUUGGUUUUCCAUCCUCAAGGUGUUAGAAAGAGGUGUUUAUCAUUUAAUCAGUUGGUGGUCAUCAUUGCAUUUCUGGUUUCCAUUUUCAUACUAGGAACGCUGUCAGCUUUUCUGAUGCUUCAUGCUGUGAGGGAGCUCAGAAGCUCAAACUUGUCUGUGGAUUGCAUUCUUCUUUCACUACACCUCCCUCAUUUACUGUUGGGAAUCAUCUUAAGGUGAACAAGCUGAAAAUAUCAGCCCAAGAAGUAUUUUCGAAUGAUCAUAGGGUGGAUAACCUAGAUAGGGGCUGCCUACUUGCCUUUAAGUUUUCUUGUAAAAAGACAGAGUUAUCCGAUGAAGAUCGCAGGGCUGAUGUAAUUACUUUUCUGCCUGGAAAAAAAGGGUUGUCAGCACUCAAAGUAAUUAUGGAGCUUAUGAUCUGGUAGGGGAUAUGCUGUAAAUGGGUAGUUUGAAGUUAUUUCAUUGAAUUUAAAGGGGUCCAAUUUGCCAGAUAAUCGAGGCAAACGUAAAAUGGGUUUUCAAAAAGUAUUUUUGUGUUGUCACUAUUCUUUAGUCUAAAUAGGAAGUAGCUCGCAUUGUACUAUUGUUUAUGAAUUGGCUCUUUUCACUUUCGAUAGGAGUAUUCAUGCAUGGUGGGUGUGUGGAGAUCAAUGCCUUUGGGAUUCCAAGUCUUUAAGCUCUUUGUAUUCCAAAGUAGGGUAAUAUUCUGCGUGCUCCAUGUUCAACUCUCUUCCAUUCGUUUGGGGUUUUAUCUAUGUAUAGGCAUAAUGAUUAUAACCUUUUGUAUGUUAUCUGGAACGAGUUUUUAUGCGUCUUUGGUAAUAUCAGUAUCCUUGAUUCGUCUGCCAUUUCUGAGUUUUCUUCUUUAUCAACCACAAUUAUUACAAUGACCCUUCUUUAGAAGGAUGUCGCUUAUUUCCUUGUCACCUCAUUUUCCCGGUUCUCUUCUUCCUCGAGAGGGAAGAACAUUUUGCAAUUUUCCAACAAACCAUCCUUCCUAAAAUAAUUCCGGUUUUUUAUAUGUUGUCGGUGAGGUGUUCCUAUUGAACAUCAAACAGUGGAACAAUUUGGCUUUGUGAUCUUAGAUAGGAGAAUGGACAAUUUGGUAACCCUGACUGACUUUUGGAUGACUGAUCGAGAGCAGCAGAAUUAUUAGGUUACUCCAAUAGAAUCACCAGGUGGGUUGAUACUACAGACAGAGGGCUAAUCAGCUUUUGGAUUGAAGAAGGGGGUUGUAAACUUGUAACACAAUUUUCCUUUUAUGGUAACAUAAGAGGUAUUCUUUGUCAUUAACAGCAUCCAAGUGGAAGGGAGGUCUACUUUGAGGUAUAGUGGAUGUGAGGUAAUUCGGUUAGAGCUUCUAAUUCUUAUUUUGAAGAAUUUUGUCUGGGUGAUCCCUGCUGCUGUUAUUGUGAAGACGGAAACUCCUCUAAAGCUUUAUAUUUUGCAUCAGUGUUUCUGUAUCACUUUUUUAUUAUGUGUAUACUUUUUUCCCUUGCACGGCUGAAAAUGGUAUGAAGUGAAAGUAAAACAACACAACAGAAGAUGAGCCACUCUUACAUAAUCACUUUUACAUAAUCUGGAAAACAGUUUAGAAGAACUCUUAAUAACAGUUCUCUGUGAUAAAUCAACAUUGUAUGAGAGUAAAUUAGUUUUUUUCUUUACAAAAUUACGACAUUCUAUACUGCCAAUUAACAUGUGUUGCGAGACAAUUAAGUUAUAAGAAAAAGAAGAAACUAUAAGAAAGAAAGCGGAAUACAAGAGUGGAACUUCUAAAGCAAAAGAGUUAUGUUAAUAAAGAUACAGGGAAAGGUUACUUCUUUCUGUGUUUAUGAGCUUGUACUUGUGCUGCAUCAUCUUGAACAAGCUCAACAAUCAAGUCUUUAAAUAUCAAUAGUUCGAUGUCUAGUACUUCAUACUACGUGUUUUAUAAGACUUGCUUGCUUUUUUUCUGCCACCUUCACUGUUACUAGUACUCUGACAUGAUUUCUGCUGCAGAGUUACAUGCCAUGACUGGUUCCAACAGAGCCUAAAGGAAGGACUAACUAUCUUCCGUGAUCAAGUACUAUCCUUUAUGAAUCUGUAAUAGUUGUCUUAAAAAAACACAGGACUCUCCUAAGUGGUAACACGAUGUAUAGAGUAUAAGACGUGGUUCUUUCUUCUCACUCAGAACAGAAGUUCAAGGUUUAAACCCCCGGACUCAAUCACCAAAGGUGCCUGAUGCUGAAUGCGGUAGAUCUUGCUGUUGUUAGUCUCAAAGUCGGCAAAAUGUUAAUGCUAUUAAGCUUUUGGUGAGGUCUGAUGGUUCUAGUUGCUUAGGAUAACACUAUUAUUUAUUUAAUUUAUCAUAAAAUAAAUUUCAUCAUUUAAGAAUUUCAUCUAGCAUGGGAAGCCACCCUGUAAAGAGGAUUGCUGAUGUCUCAAAGCUUCAGAGUUAUCAAUUUCCCCAGGUUACUUAACUUGAUGAGACCUUUAACUCAUAUACUUGGCUAAUGUCAUGCUUGAACGUAUUUUAGUCACCUCCAUUAGUAACCAUCCUACUUUUAUUAUAUUUGUUUUUGAUAGAUGUAGUUAACACCAUCUAAAAGUGUUUUAUCUUUCGUGUCUUAGGAUUUAGGUCCCAUGGCUCAUCCAGUGCGACCACAUUCCCACAUUAAGUGUUUGUGUUGUAGACUUCCUUACUUGCUGGCAAAGCUACUGCUGGAGGUUGGUGAGAUUUCUGAGAUGGGGUAAAGGGCGGCUAUAUAAAUAUUCAAUAAAUAAAAUUAAUUUUAUGGGAAAGGAAAGGGGUUAGCCAUCUUUUACUUUGUAUUAUUCAAACCUCGAUAUUCUUCAAACCCCGAAGGCCUGAAGGGAUGAAGUCUUUAAAGAGAAUGGGAAGUUAGGCACUGUCACCGCUUCAGAACGCCGCCCUAAUCGCCGCCGCAGUUCAAUUUACGAAUGAGCUCCACUCUCUCUGUCUGGUUUCCGUUUGUCUCUUCUCUUUAUUAAUUGAUGUAUUAUUCAUUCUUGUAAGAUUGUAUUUCGUGAAAUUAUCACCCGGUAUUUUUCAAUUAUCAUGAUAAUAUAUACUCCCUCCGUCCCUUAAUACUCCACCUGUUUUGACUUUUUGCACUAUUCACAUAAUUCACUUUGACCCUAUUUUAUUUAUAGUACAUGAAAACAAAUGUUAGUAUAUAAUAUAUUGUUGGCUUCAUCUUAAUAUAUAUACUUUCAAAAUAUUAAUAUGUUUAUAAGUUUUUAUAAUAUGUAGUUAAAGAAAUUAAUGGUCAAAGUUGUGCAUUGGCAAGCGUGUCCGAUCAAAACAGGUCGAGUAUUAAGGGACAGGCGGAGUAUUGAGUUUAUAGCAUAUCAUUAUUUUGAUUAAUUGUAAUUUUAAAUUCUGAUUAGGUUCUGAUUGCCGGAUAAUUUUGGUAUUUGCGGAGAUCUCGAGUUAUAGAGAAUAAGUGAAAUUCUUUGAAAUCUUUGUUAAAUUUCGACAUUCUAAGUCAGUGUUUUCUUCGAAUAAAUACAUAGAUACUAAAAUAGGUAUCGUUGUUAAAUGAACUGCUAUAUUGUUGCAAUUAGGUUUUGAUUUUCUUGAAUUCUUGGUUGGUUGAGGAACAAUUGGAUUAAUUGGAUUGAUUCUUGUUUGUUUGUGUGUGAUUAAGCUCUCUUUUUUAUAAACUGGUAGUUAUCAAUAUUUUAUGUCAGAGCGGUAUCAGUCAUAAUAAUGUGGUCUGUAACAAUAUUUCAGACACAAGAAUCUUAAAAAAAGAAGUUUAAGGUUUUAUAGUGUUCUGAGUUAAGAUGUUUUAUUGAUAUUAUUACUCCUCUCCCUUUCCCAAAUUUAACUAGUAUUUCCUAGCUUAAAGUUGAUUAAAUUUUACCCAGUUUUAGAUGAGGCUUGGUUCAGUGACUUUUGAGUUCAGUUUCUAUUCGCAUGUAAUAAGUUGAUUUCUAUAAUGGAUUUUUGUAAUUAUUUUCCCAUGUUAUCAGUUACUUUCUUCUUGUUUUAGCUGGUGCAUUAUUUCUGUUGUUUUUUAAUUUAGAGCAUUUAUUCAUCACAGGGAAUCAUUGUUGUUGGUUGUUAUUUCCUUUCCUUUUACUCGUAUUUAUACCAAUCUUGAUGAUGAAAUUUGCGAUCAGAUGGGUGUAGUUUCUAGAGAAGCGUCAGAAGGAUCCACGGGGAAUUCCUGCAAAUAAGAGGGCAAGCGCUCAGUGUUGAUGACCAUGUGUUGGGAGCUUUCAUGGAUCAAGAGCUAGAUUGUGGACGGCUAUUUCAACUUGUUUUAGCAGUAUUCUAUUUCAAGAAAUUAAAGCUUUGACCUGGUGUUAAUUGUUGCAGUUGAUGUGUUGCUGCAAUUGGUAGUUUAUGGUUCUGCAGAUUCUUGGAUGCUUGGUGAGCUACUGCAGUAGGUUGGUGUGAUUGCUGAUAAGUAAAGGGGAUGUUACUGUUGAAAAUCAAAUGGUAUCGAACAUGUCGCUGCAACUACCUUGCACUGAAAUUAGGUUCAACAUCAGGUCUCGGUUGGGAUCUUCUCGUAUAUAUGAGCAGCAAACCCUCUGAAGAAAGGCCCGGUACUUUCAAAUCCCUGCAUUAUUCAUAAAACUUACUUAAAAGGUUACGGUUGGGAUCUUCUCGUAUAUAUGAGCAACAAACCCUCUGAAGAAAGGCCCGGUACUUUCAAAUCCCUGCAUUAUUCAGAAAACUUACUUAAAAGGAUCAAGAUGAUGGAUUGGAUCCGAUAGCAAAUGAAGAUUAAGUUGACAUUGAGAAUCAUGCACACGUAAGGGAAAGCAAUUGAAGAAGAAAAGAUAGAAGACAUUCAAAUUAGUUUUGGAUUAUACAUUUUAGGUUUAGAUAUGAUCAAUUGGUUUUUAUUUUGAACAUAAUAAUGUAAUUUUCAUAGAUCGUACAUGAAAUACAUUAGAGAGUUGUUUAUUAGGUUAACCUUCAAAAUGACAUGUGCACAUUCGUGCAAUAACUAUUUCGGAUUCAUAUUAUUAUUAUUACUAUUCUUCUUUU